AAGCGGGUAACGGGUGCGAAACCCGUGUGGCACUGGCUUUUAUAUCGGGGGNUAACUCUAGAGAUUAAUACCCCAUAAUAUGUUGAAUGGCAUCAUUCGACAUUGAAAACUCCGGUGGAUAGAGAUGGGGCACGCGCAAGAAUUAGAUAGUUGGUGAGGUAACGGGCUCACCAAAGUCUACGAUCUUUUAGGGGGCCCUGGAAGAAGGGUUGGAUCCCCCAAAACUUGGGUUACUUGGAAGAAACACGGGACCAAGAAUUCCUUAACGGGGAAGGCAGCCAAGUGGAAGGAAUUCAUUCGGGANCAAAUGGGGGUGGAAGAAGCCCCUUGGAAUUCCCAAGGCCCAAUUCCCCGGCGGUUGAAAGGGACCGGAACUUGGCCCCUUAAUGGGGUCUUGGNUAAAACUUCNUUCUGGGUAAUAAGGGGGGAAUUAAAAACCCCUUAACCCUUCCGGUUGGAAACGGGGGUUAAGCCUUCGGAAAGGGUUACCUUAAUUAACCGGAAANUUAAGGGGCCAACCCNGGGGGCUUUAAACUUCCCCGAGUUUGGGCCCAAGCACAAGNCCCGAUCGGGGCUAACAUCACCGGGAAGGGGGGUUUG
rnacentral:rRNA from 1 species